AAGGUACUUGCGUUUUAUGAAACUGUUGAGUAUAUUUUGUUUGUAGAUGAUCAUAAUACAUAAAAUUGUCUAUAACAAGAUUCUAUGAUUACCUUACAGGAGGGAUUAGUCAGGUUAUUUGGGUAAUUUAUAUUACCAAAACGUACAAAUUUGGUAAAUGACAAACCGGAAGUGGCGCGUGUUUCGAGCCUUUGUUAACAUCUUAUAAGCAUGUCACACAACACCAUUCACUGGUUUAGGAAAGGUUUGCGUCUCCAUGACAACCUAGCACUUCUAGAAGGGAUAAGAAACAGUGCAGAAUGGCGGGCAGUGUUUGUCUUAGAUCCUUGGUUUGUGCAGAAUGCUAAAGUUGGACCUAAUCGCUGGCGUUUCCUUAUGCAGUGUCUUGAGGAUCUCAAUAAUAGCCUUAAUAAACUUGGAUCCAGACUAUUUGUUAUCCGUGGCAACCCAAAUGAAGUGUUCCCCAAGCUAUUCAAGAAAUGGGAAAUAACACAGCUUACAUUUGAAGUUGAUACAGAACCAUAUGCCAAACAGCGAGAUCAGACCAUAACAGACCUAGCCAAGAAACACCAGAUUGAUGUCUUACAAAGAGUGUCUCAUACUCUAUAUGAUACCAAACAAAUCAUCAAAAAGAAUGGUGGCUCUGCUCCAGGGACCUAUCAACGUUGCCUCACCGUCAUGUCACAACUUGGUGCCCCACCACAACCAGAACCUACUCUUUCUAAAGAUGACAUUAAAGGCUGCAAACUAUGCAUGGAUGCCUGUGGUUUUACAGCUGAUAUUCCAACCUUAGAAGAACUAAAUGUUAAAGAAAACGACCUUGAAACAUGUUUGUAUGUCGGAGGUGAAAGUGAAGCUCUGAAACGACUAGACAAAUAUAUGACAAGGCAGCAAUGGGUAUGCAACUUUGAGAAACCAAAGACAGAACCUAACAGUAUUAACCCGAGUACAACAGUUCUAAGCCCUUACCUUAAGUUUGGAUGUUUAUCUGCUCGAACGUUCUAUCACAGACUCAAUGAAAUAUAUCGUCAUAAUAAAAAACAUAGUGGUCCCCCUGUUUCACUUGAGGGGCAGCUUUACUGGCGGGAGUUCUUCACAACUGUUGGAUCUGAUACACCUAAUUUUGACAAAAUGGUGGGAAAUCCAAUCUGCCGGCAGAUACCUUGGGACGACAAUACACAGUUUCUUGAGGCUUGGAAACAUGGGAAAACUGGCUACCCUUUCAUUGAUGCAAUUAUGGUUCAAUUACGCAGAGAAGGUUGGAUUCAUCAUCUAGCUAGGCAUGCAGUUGCGUGCUUCCUAACUAGGGGUGAUUUAUGGAUUAGCUGGGAGGAAGGACAAAAGGUGUUUGAGGAGCUGUUAUUGGAUGCUGACUGGAGUUUGAAUGCUGGGAAUUGGAUGUGGUUGUCUGCAAGUGCAUUCUUCCAUCAAUACUUCAGGGUCUACAGCCCUGUCGCAUUUGGCAAGAAAACAGAUAAGAAUGGAGAUUUUAUAAGAAAAUACUUGCCAGUUUUGCAAAACUUCCCAGCACAGUACAUAUAUGAGCCAUGGAAAGCCCCUUUAAAGGUUCAGGAGAAGUUCAAGUGUAUCAUAGGUAAAGACUACCCCAAGCCAAUUGUGGACCAUGAUGUAGUCAGACAAUUGAACAUCAAGAAAAUGGCUGCAGCGUAUGCUAAGAAUAAGGAGGCAAAGGAAGAGUCGCCUAAGAAGAAGAAGCAAAAAGUGAAAUAACUAGUCAGAUGGGAGGGUUGAUAUCUCAGGCUGAUUAUAUACUCAGGAAUCAGGUUUUAUUUCACUGUAAUCGGACAAUGCUUCAAAGGAUUCUGUGUAUAAAUCAAAAUAUUUGAAUCAUCACAUAAAGAAUUUGAAUUGUCAUGUGAAGAAUUUGAAGUGACAUAAAUGACAUAUGAAGAAUUUGAUUUGUCAUAGGAAGGAUUUGAAGUGACAUGAAUGACAUGUGAAGAAUUUGAA
rnacentral:misc_RNA from 1 species